rnacentral:rRNA from 1 species
UACCUGUUCCCGUCCCGAACACAGAAGUCAAGCACUCCAUCGCCGAAGGUAGUUGGCUUAGCGCCUGCAAGAAUAGGACGCUGCCGGUU